UACGUAGGGGGCAAGCGUUGUCCGGAAUUAUUGGGCGUAAAGGGCGCGUAGGCGGGUAUUUAAGUCCGGUGUGAAAGAUCAGGGCUCAACCCUGAGAGUGCAUCGGAAACUGGGUAUCUUGAGGACAGGAGAGGAAAGUGGAAUUCCACGUGUAGCGGUGAAAUGCGUAGAUAUGUGGAGGAACACCAGUGGCGAAGGCGACACACUGGCCCGUUACUGACGCUGAGGCGCGAAAGCGUGGGGAGCAAACAGG
rnacentral:rRNA from 1 species